CGGGAGGCUGCAGUAGGGAAUCUUCCACAAUGGGCGCAAGCCUGAUGGAGCAACGCCGCGUGUGUGAUGAAGGCUUUCGGGUCGUAAAGCACUGUUGUAUGGGAAGAAUGGUAAGGGUAGGAAAUGAUCUUUACGUGACGGUACCAUACCAGAAAGGGACGGCUAAAUACGUGCCAGCAGCCGCGGUAAUACGUAUGUCCCGAGCGUUAUCCGGAUUUAUUGGGCGUAAAGCGAGCGCAGACGGUUUGAUAAGUCUGAAGUGAAAGCCCACAGCUCAACUGUGGAAGUGCUUUGGAAACUGUCAAACUUGAGUGCAGUAGAGGUAAGUGGAACUCCAUGUGUAGCGGUGGAAUGCGUAGAUAUAUGGAAGAACACCAGUGGCGAAGGCGGCUUACUGGACUGCAACUGACGUUGAGGCUCGAAAGUGUGGGUAGCAAACAGGAUUAGAUACCCUGGUAGUCCACACCGUAAACGAUGAACACUAGGUGUUAGGGGGUUUCCGCCCCUUAGUGCCGAAGCUAACGCAUUAAGUGUUCCGCCUGGGGAGUACGACCGCAAGGUUGAAACUCAAAGGAAUUGACGGGGACCCGCACAAGCGGUGGAGCAUGUGGUUUAAUUCGAAGCAACGCGAAGAACCUUACCAGGUCUUGACAUCCUUUGAAGGUACAAGAGAUUGUGCUGUUUUCUUCGGAAACAAAGUGACAGGUGGUGCAUGGCCGUCGUCAGCUCGUGUCGUGAGAUGUUGGGUUAAGUCCCGCAACGAGCGCAACCCUUAUGUUUAGUUGCCAGCAUUCAGUUGGGCACUCUAGACAGACUGCCGGUGACAAACCGGAGGAAGGCGGGGACGACGUCAGGUCAUCAUGCCCCUUAUGACCUGGGCUACACACGUGCUACAAUGGCGUAUACAACGAGCAGCGAACUCGCGAGGGUAAGCGAAUCUCUUAAAGUACGUCUCAGUUCGGAUUGUAGUCUGCAACUCGACUACAUGAAGUCGGAAUCGCUAGUAAUCGCGGAUCAGCAUGCCGCGGUGAAUACGUUCCCGGGUCUUGUACACACCGCCCGUCACACCAUGGGAGUUUG
rnacentral:rRNA from 1 species